rnacentral:misc_RNA from 1 species
UUGAAGUGAGGUGAACGUAUAAAAAUGUAUCAUAACGGCAUUUUUUGUGCUGCUAUGGAGGUACAUAAAUUGUUUGUAACCAUUUGUCAAAUUAGUGUAGCUUUCUGCGUAAUAGUUUACUGAUUCACGUGAAGUGUUGUCUGUAUCAUGCAGAAGUGGAUAUUGUCAUAUACAUGAUUGUUUGUAUCACUCCAAAAACUAAACACGAAUGUGAUUCAGUUAUUAUAUCAGUGAUGUGAUGAGAUACAACAAGCGUAAUUGAUUUAAUAAACAUGUCAUGAUGGGUUGAUGUGCACAACCCCUUAUUAUGAUUUAUAUAACCUGUUAACUCCUGUAGGCUGGUUAAUAUGUGACACUGCACAAGUAUCUUCUGUUAGAAAUAUGUCAACAUGAUUUUGGUAUGAGUGCAUUUAAGGCAUAGCCAAAUCCAAUUUUUUUCGUGGAUGAGUUGUGCUCAAGUUUGUCUCUACUGUUGCCUCCCCUAAUUGAUGCUGUUCCAUUCUAUCGGCUGAUUUGAAUAUGUUGAAUUUUCCUGUCUUGCCAUUCAAAUCAAUCUCUAGUUUGAAUUUGAAAAGACGGUAAGAAGCAACUUCCUUUCAGUAAAGGUCUAUUUUAUUUUAUUUCCUGUAAUGAAGCUUAUGCUGUAAGAUUCCUUUCUUGCCUAGAAAAACUGGCAGGGAUAUUUCUAGUGAUUUUUCUUGUUCAUAUUUGUAUAUUUGAAUCAUAAAAUUGAGUUCCAAUCAUAUUUGUCUAUUUGAAUUAUAAACAUAAAUUAUUUCUAUGUCACUGUAUCUAGCCUUAUCCUUAGCUGCUGGAUUGCUCAUGUCUGUUUAGUGCUGAUGUGCACUGCACAUGUGUGA